GGGUAAGUCCAGGAUACAUGCCUCAGUGGGAUAGAUGACUUGAUUUUUAUUUCACUAUGUUAGGAGCACUGUGAGAGUUAAAUUUCUCUAUAAGUAACGAGUCCUCCCCCCACCAACCUCAGUGCCAGGCAGACUGUCGACAGGAGCGCACGCGUUUCGUCCGUGUGAGUAAAAAUCUUCCGCGGCGAGACGACAAAAGGCGCCAAAAUAAGAUUCGAGAGCAAAAUGCCUCGUAAAUAUAAAAGAAAACCGGGUGUUAUCCCUCGCGCUGUUACCUGGACCGAAGAAAGUAUGCUAGCAGCGUUUGAAGAGAUGAAAAAGGGAGACAAGGGUGUAAACACCCUGUGCUAGGGUUUGAUAACGAAAAACGACUUGUGGCUCAUAUAUUCAAAUUAGGAGAAGCUGGAUUUCCGCCGGACCGAACUGCAAUACGUCAGUUAGCAUACCAGUUUGCUAAGAAGCUACAAUUAAACCAUAAUUUCGACGAAGAAACAGAAAUGGCUGGGUAUUCGUGGUUCCAAAGUUUUAUGGAAAGAAAUCCUGGGAUCUGCCUGAGGCAAUCUGAAGGUUUAUCGAUUGCAAGAGCACAAGGUUUAAAUAGGGAGGAAGUUAAAAGCUUUUAUGACUUGUUGACCAAAAUUUUGACGGAAAACGACCUACUUGAUAAACCAGACCGAAUCUUCAAUAUGGAUGAAUCUGGUAUACAACUGAAUAAUAAACCUGGAAAAGUAGUCGCAAAAAAAGGUGUCAGGGUCGUUAAAACUGUGACUUUUGCAGAAAAAGGCGAAACAAUCACCAUCAUCGCUUGUUGUAAUGCUAUUAUUAAUUAUAAUACAAAUAAUUUUCAAUUUAAUUAUCUCCCCCUAUCUUAAGAAUAAUUUAGUCUGAUACCAAAGUUGAUUUUUAUUUUUUAAGAUGAUUAUUACUAAUAUCAAGAAGACUGGAGAAGUAUUAAAGUUCAUGCAAGUUAAUUACUACCUAGUAGUUAGUAAAAGAUGUUGAUUAUUAUUAAAAAAAUAUGUGAUCGUUAAUAGAUGAUAAUGUUUAUGUAUGUUAAAACACAAUAAAGACUGAUUAUUAUAAUAUAGUUGUUUCAUUUCAUAACAAAUCAGUUACAAUGUUUGACUAAGUCGUCAAUCCCCACUAAGGGCACCUAUCCUCACAUCAUUUUUCAUGAUAAGUCUUCUAUCCGCCACAGUAGGCGUCUAUCCUAUUUUUUAGAGGUCCAGCAAAUUACAAUUUAUACAAAAUCUACACAGUCUAUAUCAAAUCGAUUCAGAUAAAAUAAUGCAUUAAGAAAUAUAUUAAAUAUUUCUCAAAGAACACAAUGCUCUAAGAUUAUAAAUUUCGGAAUUAUUAAGCUUUUUCAAAAAGUGUGGCAUCUAUCCUGGACUU